UAACCAUUUUAAAUUCAGGCUGUAACAACACAGUGUGGGAGAAGUGAAAAGGUGUGAAUACUUCCUGAAGGCCACUGUACAUACAACCAUUGCUAUGGGACCAAGAACAUUGCAACAGUACUGUGAUGUUUACAGUUAAUUAUACUGUAUCACUGUGUAUAUAUAUAUAUAUAUGCCACUCAGAAAGCAUGCAGGGUAUUAUUUUAAGGUCAUUAUGGUAAGAUCAUAAAAUUAACCGUAUGAAAUAAAGAUGCGAGGAAUUUUAAGCAGGGAUUUUACUACUGAGGAAGUCGUGUGACUAAUUUGGACGAAGGACUGUCUAGAUAUAUACCUUAUUCAUGACUGACCCCAUCCGAUCUACAACCCAUAUAAAGUAUGCUAUUAUGGACCCUCCUAAUUUCUACCCUACUCAGUGAUAUUCUGAUAUAACAAUGUAAUAUUUAAGUCAGGAACUAUUGACUGCCACAGACUGACUAUCCUAAGGCUUUGUGAACUUUUGAGUGCACGUACUUUAAUAUGCAAAAUAAACAGGUUACUAUACAAUACAUUGUCCUGACUGACACUACUGUAUCCAUCACUAAUAUCCAUCCACAUCUUAACAACUGCCAAAUACAUCACAUUUUAUUGGUCUGGAAAUGUACCAUUUGAAUGGUCGGAAAGUGACUUUUGUAAAACUGUGUUGUCUGUCACCUGAAAAAACGUUUUUUUUCUUUUUUUUAUGACUUGAAAAGUGAUUAAAGAGUGGGUCCAGGGUGUUUGUCAGAUGUGUUGUUGUGGUUAUAGUGAGCUGUUUGUCAAAUGGCAUCCUACUCCUCAUACUGUAUAGUGCACUACUUUUGACCAGGGCCCAUAGACCUCGGGGCCCAUAAACCUCAGGGUCCAUAGACCUCAGGGCCCAUAGAGCUCGGGGCCCAUAGAGCUCGGGGCCCAUAGAGCUCGGGGCCCAUAGAGCUCGGGGCCCAUAGAGCUCAGGGUCCAUAGACCUCAGGGCCCAUAGAACUCGGGGCCCAUAGAGCUCGGGGCCCAUAGAGCUCGGGGUCCAUAGAGCUCGGGGCCCAUAGAGCUCGGGGCCCAUAGAGCUCAGGGCCCAUAGAGCUCAGGGCCUACAGGGUUCAGGUCAAAAGUAGUGCACUACAUGGGGAAUAAGUAUGGUGCCAUUUGGGGGACACAAUUCAUGUUGAAGUAGAUGCUUUCCGUCAGAGCUCUGGCCCUGUAUCUCUCCUUCGCCCUAAAAGCAACUCUAAUGUUUUCUAUUGAAGUUUGUAAAAUAAGCGCUUUGAAAUAAAAGAACAAAUGAUAUCUCAUACUCUAGCCUGCUCUGAAAAUGUUUAAAAAUGUAAUUUCGAUGAAAGAAAGCUUGCAUUACAUUACCCCGUUGAUUAAAGAUUUUAUUACUGAGAAUUGAUUUUUUUUCAUGUCAAUUGACUUCUUUACUUCUAGUGUGUCCCAAAUGGCACCCUAAUUCUCUUCAUAGCGCACUACUUUUGACUAGAGCACUAUGGCCCCUGGUCAAAAGUAGUGCACUAUGUAGGGAAUAGGGUGCCAUUUGGGUUGCUGGCCAUUGAUUAAGCCUUGUGUUUUGAUUGUGUAACUGAAGGUCAGGGCUGUAGUUGAUCCCUGGACUAGUGGGCCUCAUCUUUACAAGCAUUUCGCUACACUCGCAAUAACAUUUGCCAACCAUUUGUAUGUGACCAAUAAAAUUUGAUUUGAAAA